UUUUUCUUCUUUUUAAAGCUGAUAUGCUACGCACGAGAAGCCAGAGACGCUAUUAGAGACUAUAACUACAGCAAAAGCAGCAGCAACAACAACAACAACUACAAUACUACACAUUUAUUAUAAUACUUUUUCUAAAUCAUUUAGGAAAUGAACACACCAAUGGACAAAAAUAGUAAUGGUCGUUGCAAAACAAAGGCAACGGAUAAUCCGGAUGCACGCAGUCCUUCAAUAGAGAGGAAAGUGAGGCAACGAAAAACCUGCUUCCCACCAAUAAAACAAUAUUCCACCGAGGAAAGGAUUAUUCCCAGCAGAACAGAUUCAGAAUUACAUCUUCCGGAUAUUCGCGAGAAAACCAACAGAUUGUUUCACGAUCCGUCUCCACAGGAUAUUGAACUCUCGCCCCACUCAUCCAAUAUACAUCAUCUACCAAGUGUAAGCAGUCACCCAAUGGUAAACUUCGGCUAUGACUGGGCCAAAUGAAGCAGCAACAGAAAGCAGCCAAGUCAAUCGGUCCCAGAGCCGCACACAAGAAACAGAAAGCUAAGAAGAUGAAACGGUCUGAGACCUAAACCUCAUCAGGAUACACCUCUCUACGAAUUUUACCAGAAUCACUUAGUCACCUCAAAUUCUUCCCCACACAUUUUUCAUUUACUCCCACAACAGCUACAACAACUAAUCUUCCAACUUAUAAUAAUAAUAAUAAUAAUAAUAAUAAUAAUAAUCGAAAUUAAAUAUCUGAGAUGAGCAUCA